UGUAAAAUUGACACAAGUGUUGCAUGCAGUUUUAACUCAAUGUUGUCAGUUUAGUGAAAUGAAAGUGAAAAUAUCGUGUUAGAUUUACUAGGCAGAUAGGCCUAGCCUAUUUAUAGAUUGUGUUAUGUUGAAAGAACCCAACGCAGUCAGGCAAUUUCUUCAAACUACCCAGAAUGCAACGCUCCAGCUUUUCAAAUUGCAGGAAGGCGCGAGGAGUAAACAGACUAGUUCGCCUGCAAGAAAUGUACCACGUGAUGCAGUAGCCUGUUGAUGCUGGCAAAAGAUGCAAUCUGGAGGAUUUCAGGAGAUGGCUCUUGCUCACUGGCAGUGACUUGGGUCAUGUGAGACAGCAUCAGAGCUCGGGUGACAUCUCUCGCUCGGGUGAAAUCUCUCCUGGAAGAUUUCAAGGUGUGUGCAGAGUUCUGAAGAAUAAAAGUCAACAGUCAAGUUCUUCUCCAUAUUCUCCAAAUCUGACGGAGGCGUUCCAUCAGGAAAGGGGGAAUGGUUGGUCGAUGCCUCCAGAAUAAUGAUACCCAUGACCCAGGCACAACAUGCUGACAGGGAAUCGGCUAUGGCAGAAAGCAUCCAUGCCAUCUACGUGAUCCGCCAUGAAGGUUCAGAAGCUACUGACAGUCCUGAGGACAUCGGAAUCAUUUUCAAAGGGGUGACUGCAUUUGGCUGCUUGCCAAACAUCCUACCCAG